AGGGCGUAUGGGGAAUGCCUAGGCACACUCCGGCGAAGAAGGACGCAGCAAACAGCGAAAUGCGACGGUGAGCGGUAAGCACGUGAAGAGCCGUCGAUAUCCGAAUGGGGGAACCCACACGGAGUCAUAUCCGUGUAUCACAUGUCGAAUACAUAGACAUGAUGAGGCGAGACGCAGGGAACUGAAACAUCUAAGUACCUGCAGGAAGAGAAAAUAAGAAUGAUUUUCUGAGUAGCGGCGAGCGAAAGGGAAAGAGCCCAAACCGAUUUGAGGAUCGGGGUAGUAGGAUCAUCGAUAAAUCAAACAGAGGAUCAUAGAGGAAUCACAUGGGAAGGUGAGCGAGAGAGGGUGAGAGCCCCGUACUCGAAAUGAGAGACUGGAGAGAGAUGACACCUGAGUAGGGCGGGACACGAGAAAUCCUGUCUGAAUCAGCCGGGACCAUCCGGCAAGGCUAAAUACGAGAGAGUGACCGAUAGUGAACCAGUACCGUGAGGGAAAGGUGAAAAGAACCCCGGGAGGGGAGUGAAAGAGAACCUGAAACCAUAUGCCUACAAGAAGUCAGAGCCCGUUAAAGGGUGAUGGCGUGCCUUUUGUAGAAUGAACCGGCGAGUUACUGUAUGGAGCGAGGUUAAGCAGGAUAUGCGGAGCCGAAGCGAAAGCGAGUCUUAAGAGGGCGCGAGUUGCAUGCAGUAGACCCGAAACCGGGUGAUCUAGCCAUGACCAGGUUGAAGUUGGGGUAAAACCCGAUGGAGGACCGAACCGACCCCCGUUGAAACGUUGGCGGAUGAGUUGUGGCUAGGGGUGAAAUUCCAAUCGAACCCGGAGAUAGCUGGUUCUCCCCGAAAUAGCUUUAGGGCUAGCGUCGAGAGAAGAGUUGCGUGAAGGUAGAGCACUGAAUAUGUGAUGGCCCCAUCUCGGGGUACUGAGCAUAAUCAAACUGCGAAUGUCACGCCAACAUGCUCGGCAGUCAGACAGCGGGUGAUAAGGUCCGUUGUCAAGAGGGAAACAGCCCAGACCAUCAGCUAAGGUCCCAAAAUGUAUGCUAAGUGGAAAAGGAUGUGGAGAUGUACAGACAACUAGGAGGUUGGCUCAGAAGCAGCCAUCCUUUAAAGAGUGCGUAACAGCUCACUAGUCGAAUGACUCUGCGCCGAUAAUUUACCGGGGCUAAGCAUACUACCGAAGCUAUGGAUCCCAAGGGAUGGUAGGGGAGCGUUCCAUGAACGGAGAAGUACGACCGAAAGGACGUGUGGAGAUCAUGGAAGAGAGAAUGCCGGUGUGAGUAGCGGAACGUGGGUGAGAAUCCCACGCACCGAAAACCCAAGGUUUCCAGAGGAAGGUUCGUCCGCUCUGGGUAAGUCGGGACCUAAGGCGAGGCCGAAAGGCGUAGUCGAUGGACAACAGGUAGAGAUUCCUGUACCCGUAUAUAUGUGAAGGAAUGACGGAGAGAGGAAGCUGCAGCCAGCGGCUGGAAGAGCUGGUGCAAGCGAGAUAUCGGGAUGGCAGGCAAAUCCACCAUCCGAAACGAGAAGGCGUGAAGCGUACGGAAAGCUACGGCGAGUACGGAAGGCAGUGGAGGAACUUCCAAGAAAAGUUUCUAACGUUAAGUAUAUAUGGCCCGUACCGAAAAUGGACACACAUGGGUGAGGAGAGAAUCCUAAGGUGAGCGAGAGAACUAUAGCUAAGGAACUCUGCAAAAUGACUCCGUAACUUAGGGAGAAGGAGUGCUCAUAGAGAUAUGAGCCGCAGUGAAACGGCCCAAGCGACUGUUUACCAAAAACACAGCUCUCUGCUAAGCCGCAAGGCGAAGUAUAGGGGGUGACGCCUGCCCGGUGCUGGAAGGUUAAGGGGAGGGGUUAACGCAAGUGAAGCCCUGAACUGAAGCCCCAGUAAACGGCGGCCGUAACUAUAACGGUCCUAAGGUAGCGAAAUUCCUUGUCGGGUAAGUUCUGACCCGCACGAAAGGCGUAACGAUUUGGGCGCUGUCUCAGCUGUAGACUCGGUGAAGUCUUAGUACCUGUGAAGAUGCAGGUUACCCGCGACUAGACGGAAAGACCCCAUGGAGCUUCACUGCAGGUUGAUAUUGGGAUUUGAUGCAGCAUGUACAGGAUAGGUAGGAGGCAAAGAGAUGGAUACGCCAGUAUUCAAGGAGCCGCUGUUGGGAUACUACCCCUGUUGUAUUGGAUUUCUAACCGGACGACGUAGAGCCGUUGACGGGACAGUGUCAGUCGGGCAGUUUGACUGGGGCGGUCGCCUCCCAAAGAGUAACGGAGGCGCCCAAAGAUACCCUCAGCUUGGAUGGAAACCAAGCGCAGAGUGCAAAGGCAAAAGGGUGUUUGACUGCGAGACCCACAAGUCGAGCAGGGACGAAAGUCGGGC
rnacentral:rRNA from 1 species